AGAAUUAUGCCCCGAAGGACAUUUAGCCUGGGAAUGGUUUAUGUUCCAAAUGAUUUAUCCCCGUAGGAUGGGACUGCGCCAUAUCAGUUUGUUGGUGAGGUAAUGCUCCACCAAGACUAUUACAGGUACGGGCUCUGAGAGGAGUAGCCCGGAGAUGGGUACUGAGACACGGACCCAGGCCCUAUGGGGCGCAGCAGGCGAGAAAACUUUGCAAUGUGCGAAAGCACGACAAGGUUAAUCCGAGUGGUUUCUGCUAAAGAAACCUUUUGUCAGUCCUAGAAACACUGAUGAAUAAGGGGUGGGCAAGUUCUGGUGUCAGCCGCCGCGGUAAAACCAGCACCUCAAGUGGUCAGGAUGAUUAUUGGGCCUAAAGCAUCCGUAGCCGGCUCUGUAAGUUUUCGGUUAAAUCUGUACGCUCAACGUACAGGCUGCCGGGAAUACUGCAGAGCUAGGGAGUGGGAGAGGUAGACGGUACUCGGUAGGAAGGGGUAAAAUCCUUUGAUCUAUUGAUGACCACCUGUGGCGAAGGCGGUCUACCAGAACACGUCCGACGGUGAGGGAUGAAAGCUGGGGGAGCAAACCGGAUUAGAUACCCGGGUAGUCCCAGCUGUAAACUAUGCAAACUCAGUGAUGCAUUGGCUUGUGGCCAAUGCAGUGCUGCAGGGAAGCCGUUAAGUUUGCCGCCUGGGAAGUACGUACGCAAGUAUGAAACUCAAAUGAAUUG
rnacentral:rRNA from 1 species